UACGAAGGGGGCUAGCGUUGCUCGGAAUCACUGGGCGUAAAGGGCGCGUAGGCGGCCAUUCAAGUCAGAGGUGAAAGCCCAAGGCUCAACCUUGGAACUGCCUUUGAUACUGUUUGGCUUGAGACCGGUAGAGGUAAGUGGAACUGCGAGUGUAGAGGUGAAAUUCGUAGAUAUUCGCAAGAACACCAGUGGCGAAGGCGGCUUACUGGACCGGUUCUGACGCUGA
rnacentral:rRNA from 1 species